GACGAACCGUCCGAACGUUAUUCGGAAUCACUGGGCUUACAGAGUUCGUAGGCGGUCCGGUAAGUUAGAUGUGAAAUCCCUUGGCUUAACCAAGGAACUGCGUUUGAAACUACCGGACUCGAGGGAGAUAGAGGAAAGCGGAACUGAUGGUGGAGCGGUGAAAUGCGUAGAUAUCGGAAGGAACACCGGUGGCGAAAGCGGCGCGCUGGACCCCUUCUGACGCUGAGGCGCGAAAGCCAGGGGAGCAAACGGG
rnacentral:rRNA from 1 species